rnacentral:rRNA from 1 species
AGGGUUUGAUCAUGGCUCAGGACGAACGCUGGCGGCGUGCUUAACACAUGCAAGUCAAGGAGAACGGAUCCUUCGGGAUACUAUUAAACUGGCGAACGGGUGAGUAACGCGUAGGCAACCUGCCUUGGAGAUUGGGAUAACCCCGGGAAACCGGAGCUAAUACCAAAUAAUGCAGCGGAUCCUUCGGGAUAUGUUGUUAAAGUGGGCUUCGGCUCACACUACAAGAUGGGCCUGCGUCCGAUUAGCUUGUUGGUGAGGUAAUGGCUCACCAAGGCGAUGAUCGGUAGCUGGUCUGAGAGGAUGAUCAGCCACACUGGGAUUGAGAUACGGCCCAGACUCCUACGGGAGGCAGCAGUGGGGAAUUUUGCGCAAUGGACGAAAGUCUGACGCAGCAACGCCGCGUGAUCGAUGAAGCUUCUAGGAGUGUAAAGAUCUGUCGUGAGGGAAGAAAAAUCUGGAUGUAAAUAAUGUUCAGACGUGACGGUACCUCACAAGAAAGCACCGGCUAACUUCGUGCCAGCAGCCGCGGUAAUACGAGGGGUGCUAGCGUUGUCCGGAAUUACUGGGCGUAAAGGGUUCGUAGGCGUCUUGCCAAGUUGAUCGUUAAAGCCACCGGCUUAACCGGUGAUCUGCGAUCAAAACUGGCGAGAUAGAAUAUGUGAGGGGAAUG